UACGUAGGUGGCGAGCGUUGUCCGGAUUUAUUGGGUUUAAAGGGUGCGUAGGCGGCCCUAUAAGUCAGUGGUGAAAUAUCGCAGCUUAACUGUGAGGGUGCCAUUGAUACUGUAGGGCUUGAGUGAAUUUGAGGUAGGCGGAAUUGACGGUGUAGCGGUGAAAUGCUUAGAUAUCGUCAAGAACACCGAUAGUGAAGACAGCUUACCAAGCUUCAACUGACGCUGAGGCACGAAAAGUGUGGGGGAUCAAAACAGGG
rnacentral:rRNA from 1 species